GACGAACGCUGGCGGCGUGCCUAAUACAUGCAAGUCGAGCGGACUGAAUGGGAGCUUGCUCUUGUUCGGUCAGCGGCGGACGGGUGAGUAACACGUGGGCAACCUGCCCGCAAGACCGGGAUAACUCCGGGAAACCGGAGCUAAUACCGGAUAACACCGAAGACCGCAUGGUCUUUGGUUGAAAGGCGGCGCAAGCUGCCACUUGCGGAUGGGCCCGCGGCGCAUUAGCUAGUUGGUGAGGUAACGGCUCACCAAGGCGACGAUGCGUAGCCGGCCGGAGGGGGGGGGCAGGCGGCCGUGGAGGGGGAAAAGGCGCAGGGGGCCGGGGGGGGGGGCCAGAGGGGAAUGGGCGGAAUUGGGGGGGGCCUGGCGGGGAGGGGGCGGGGGGGGAGGGAAGGGCGUGGGGUCGGGGAGGACGGUUGUGGGGGGCGAAAGAGAGGCGGAUGGAGAAGUAGGCGGGGUGACGGUACCUGACGAGGAAGCAACGGCUAACUACGUG
rnacentral:rRNA from 1 species